UACGUAGGGUGCAAGCGUUAAUCGGAAUUACUGGGCGUAAAGCGUGCGCAGGCGGUUAUGUAAGGCAGUUGUGAAAUCCCCGGGCUCAACCUGGGAACUGCAUCUGUGACUGCAUAGCUAGAGUACGGUAGAGGGGGAUGGAAUUCCGCGUGUAGCAGUGAAAUGCGUAGAGAUGCGGAGGAACACCGAUGGCGAAGGCAGCCCCCUGGGCCAACACUGACGCUCAGGCACGAAAGCGUGGGGAGCAAACAGG
rnacentral:rRNA from 1 species